GGGAACCAAUCAAAAUGUUCUAUUUUAAAGAGACUCUUUUUAAAAUAAGCCUUCAGAAUGAUUAGAUUGGAAAAACGUGAGGUUCUGGUGAGCAGAUAAAAUAUUUAAUAGUAAUAAUAACAAGUAGUGAAGAUCUCAGGCAGCAUGAAGGUGUCGGUGAGUUUCCUUUUCUUUGAGCUUCACUGACGUCCUCUAUUUUCAUUCUGUGUUCUUCUGUGAUUAUUUAAAAGUUUUAAUUGGGUUUUAAACUGUUCAAGGAUUAUUUGGGUUGUGACUGCUGGUUCUGUAUCACUUACAGUUUGAGGAUUUAAACUUAAUCUGUGUUUUUAUUCUAGAUCUUUGGUGUAUUCUUGAUUACCAUGGGUUAGUCCAAUCAAAUCUACUAUGUUGUUGUUGAUGCCAGAUGUCCUUUGUGGGGGUGAGUCACUAACUUGGCAAAUUGUUUGUUUGCAUUGCAGGAUUCUUUUCUCUGAGUCCGGUGUUUCCAGAACAUUUUCCUCCUCCCAGCAUUUGUUAUGCUCAGUGGUUUGAUCGUGACAAUCCUAGUGAAUUAGGAGAUUAUGAAACACUGGCCAACCUGAGAGAAGAAUAUCUACAUGAGCUCUGCCACAAGCCUUUAGCCAUUGAUGCUCAGACUAUGGAUGAUGUUCCAGCCUCACGCACUGGACAAGUGUUUCAAUAGUGCAGGGCUUCGCCUAUGUGAAUUCUCAGCAGGAUGAAGGACCGUGUCUAGAUUACAAGGUGUGUUUUGGGUGCCCGGCUCCUUGGCCUCCGGCUCCUUGGCCUCCGAGUGCUUGGCCUCCGGCUCCUUGGCCUCCGAGUGCUUGGCCUCUGGCUCCUUGGCCUCCGACUCCGACCGACGUGAUGCCUCAGUAAACCCCUUUUCACCUGUCUGUUUUUUCAGUCAUCUUAUCACCGCCUUCUGUAUUCCUAUUGCUUCAUGUCUCUUUUUAAUAACUCAAAUGUGUAUGAGAACAUGUGCUCCAGAUCGUCUACAGAAUCAGUCACUUGUCUUUGAGAUGUUUUUGAUCGAUUAAUCGCAUGAACAAUUUGUAUGCACUCUAAUGAGAAACUGAUGACUGUAAUAAAAAUUACCUUCAGUCCUGCUUGUCCGAUUCUUGAUCUGUGCUCCAAAGGAGUCAUGCCAGUUUUGUGGGUUUUUAUUAAUUUAUAGAAAUUAAC